AAGCCUGACGCAGGGACCCCGCGUGAGGGAUGAAGGCCUUUCGGUUUUAACUUUUUUCAGCAGGACGAAGCGAAAGUGACGGUACCUGCAGAAGAAGCACCGCCAACUACGUGCCAGCAGCCGCGGUAAUACGUAGGGUGCAAGCGUUUUCCGGAAUUAUUGGGCGUAAAGAGCUCGUAGGCGGUCUGUCGCGUCGGCUGUGAAAACUCGGGGCUCAACCCCGAGCCUGCAGUCGAUACGGGCAGACUAGAGUGCUGUAGGGGAGACUGGAAUUCCUGGUGUAGCGGUGAAAUGCGCAGAUAUCAGGAGGAACACCGGUGGCGAAGGCGGGUCUCUGGGCAGUAACUGACGCUGAGGAGCGAAAGCGUGGGGAGCGAACAGGAUUAGAUACCCUGGUAGUCCACGCCGUAAACGGUGGGUGCUAGGUGUGAGCGGUAUUCCACGCCGUUCGUGCCGCAGCUAACGCAUUAAGCACCCCGCCUGGGGAGUACGGCCGCAAGGCUAAAACUCAAAGGAAUUGACGGGGGCCCGCACAAGCAGCGGAGCAUGUGGCUUAAUUCGACGCAACGCGAAGAACCUUACCAAGGCUUGACAUACACCGAAAACUCGUAGAGAUACGGGGUCCGCAAGGGCGGUGUACAGGUGGUGCAUGGUUGUCGUCAGCUCGUGUCGUGAGAUGUUGGGUUAAGUCCCGCAACGAGCGCAACCCUCGUUCUAUGUUGCCAGCGCGUCAUGGCGGGGACUCAUAGGAGACUGCCGGGGUCAACUCGGAGGAAGGUGGGGACGACGUCAAAUCAUCAUGCCCCUUAUGUCUUGGGCUGCACACAUGCUACAAUGGCCGGUACAAAGGGCUGCUAAGCCGCGAGGUGGAGCGAAUCCCAAAAAGCCGGUCUCAGUUCGGAUUGGGGUCUGCAACUCGACCCCAUGAAGUCGGAGUUGCUAGUAAUCGCAGAUCAGCAACGCUGCGGUGAAUACGUUCCCGGGCCU
rnacentral:rRNA from 1 species